rnacentral:rRNA from 1 species
GACGAACGCUGGCGGCGUGCUUAACACAUGCGAGUCGAACGGAAAGGCCCUGCUUUUGUGGGGUGCUCGAGUGGCGAACGGGUGAGUAACACGUGAGUAACCUGCCCUUGACUUUGGGAUAACUUCAGGAAACUGGGGCUAAUACCGGAUAGGAGCUCCUGCUGCAUGGUGGGGGUUGGAAAGUUUCGGCGGUUGGGGAUGGACUCGCGGCUUAUCAGCUUGUUGGUGGGGUAGUGGCUUACCAAGGCUUUGACGGGUAGCCGGCCUGAGAGGGUGACCGGCCACAUUGGGACUGAGAUACGGCCCAGACUCCUACGGGAGGCAGCAGUGGGGAAUAUUGCACAAUGGGCGGAAGCCUGUUGCAGCAACGCCGCGUGCGGGAUGACGGCCUUCGGGUUGUAAACCGCUUUCGCCUGUGACGAAGCGUGAGUGACGGUAAUGGGUAAAGAAGCACCGGCUAACUACG